rnacentral:rRNA from 1 species
UGCAUCGAUGAAGAACGCAGCGAAACGCGAUAGGUAGUGUGAAUUGCAGAAUUCCGUGAAUCAUCGAAUCUUUGAACGCACCUUGCGCUCCAUGGCAUUCCGUGGAGCAUGCCUGUUUGAGUGCCGUGAAAUCUCCCACCCCUAGCGGUUGCCGCAAGGCGCCGCCGGGCGGCGGGGUUGGUUGGGUGCCGCUGCCUGGGCUUUGGCCCAGGCUCGCCCGAAAUGCAUGAGCGCUUAGCACUCGCACCGUCUCGAGGGAAGGCGGCGGAGCUGGCAUCUGCGCAUGGCAUGAUACGUCAUUUGCUGUGUGGCAGCCCAGCGACCCGAGAGUGUGUGUGCGCUACUACACGCCCUUUCAUUUCUGGUCUCAAAUCAGGUAGGAUCACCCGCUGAACUUAAGCAUAUCAAUAAGCGGAGGA